rnacentral:rRNA from 1 species
UACCGAGGUCUCAAGCGUUGUUCGGAUUCAUUGGGCGUAAAGGGUGCGUAGGUGGCGCGCUAAGUCAGGUGUGAAAUUUCGGAGCUUAACUCCGAAACUGCAUUUGAUACUGGCGUGCUUGAGGACUGGAGAGGAGACUGGAAUUCAUGGUGUAGCAGUGAAAUGCGUAGAGAUCAUGAGGAAGACCAGUGGCGAAGGCGGCGCUCUGGGCCGGUACUGACGCUGAGGAGCGAAAGCGUGGGUAGCAAACAGG